rnacentral:lncRNA from 1 species
GUUGGACACUUAAUUGAGCCACCCAGAUGCCCCAAGACCAACUCAUCUUUAGUUCAACUCUAGGUUUACCUUAGUGGGACUUGAGAGAAGAUCCACUGCUGUUCCCUUCAGAGCCCUCCAGUAGCUCAUCUGUUUCAAAGGACUCUAUUUCUCAUAUCUUCAGGAAGAGUCAACCUGUCUGCAGUUAAUGUUUACAGAUGCAAAGAUAUCGAAACACCAUUUGAAUAA